rnacentral:tRNA from 1 species
UGCGGACGUGGUGGAAUUGGCAGACACGCUAGACUUAGGAUCUAGUGCUUCGGCGUGAGAGUUCGAGUCUCUCCGUCCGUAUC